GCUAGGGAUACCUCAGUUGGUAGAGCAUGAGACUGUUCAUCUCAGGGUUGUGGGGUCAAGCCCUACAUUGGGCA